UACGUAGGCAGCGAGCGUUGUUCGGAAUUACUGGGCGUAAAGAGUGUGUAGGCGGUGCUCCCAGUCUGUUGUGAAAUCUCCCGGCUUAACUGGGUGGGUGCAGCGGAAACUAGAGUGCUAGAGGGUGGGAGAGGUAAGCGGAAUUCCUGGUGUAGCGGUGAAAUGCGUAGAUAUCAGGAGGAACACCUGUGGUGUAGACAGCUUACUGGACCACUUCUGACGCGGAGACACGAAAGCGUGGGUAGCAAACAGG
rnacentral:rRNA from 1 species